ensembl:lncRNA
AGGCGGCGCUGCUGCGAGGGGGCGGGGCCGCGGGAGGCGCCGGAGGAGGGGUGGCGGGGGAGCACAUCUUCUUCCUGCCUCUCUUCCAGUCCGAGACGUCCACGCCCACGUCGGUGGGCGGGUUCUCGGCGAGGGGGACGCCCUCGGAGGAAGGCGGGUACCGGUGCCAGACGGCGGACGUGAGCGUGGCGUCGCCUGGAGACACGCCCACCCCGAGUCCCGGCUUCAGCUGCACCGGGAGUCUUCCCCACCACUUCCGGACCGGCGGCGAGAGGAGGGACUCCAGCCUGAGCGGCAGCACCGUGGGGGGGACCCCCGGCAGCUCGGGCCCCGGGCGCAGGAAGGAGUGGUGGGAGAGCGCCGGGAACAAGCUGUACACCAUCGCCACGGACAAGACGCUCAGCAAGCUGAUGAUGGAGUACAAGCGCAGGAAGCAGCAGCAGCAGCAGCCGCAGCAGAGCCACCUCAACCUGUUCAUGAAGGAGCAGGGCCGGGCGGCCGGGGGCCCCGGGGGGCCCGGGGGGGCCGGCGCCGCCGAGCGCAGGGGCCCCGCGGAGCCGCAGCGGCCCCCGCAGAGGCCCCAGCAGCUGGUGGACCAGCAGGGGCCCCCCCUCAGGCACUCGGUGAGCGCCGGGCCGGAGGUGCUGAGGCAGGAGAAGAGGCCCCGGUCCGGAUCCACCAUCAGCUCCCACAGCAUCUCCCUGAGGGACUCCGAGGCCCAGAUCCAGGCCUGGACCAACAUGGUGCUGACCCUGCUGAACCAGGUCCUGGUCCUGGGCGACCCGGCCUUCCUGGCCCUGCAGCCGGCGCUCUUCCCCUGCCUCAGCCAGCUCUGCUGCCACGUGACCGACGCCCGGGUCCGCCAGGCGCUGCGCGAGUGGCUGGGCCGCGUGGGCCGGCUCUACGACAUCGUGCUGUGAGGGCCCGGCUCCCCGCGGGGCCCCUGGGAACCUCCCGUCCCGCUCCCCCCUCUUGGCUGAAAUUUGCAGACUCUUCGUGUUGGUGCAGUAUUUCUCCUCGUCUGUCGACUCCUGCGAGCUUCUGCUGUUUUUCUCUCGUCUGCUUCGAAAUGAAAUGAUUCCCCUCCACCUCCCCCGUCCUUAAAGGGACAGUACACCUUUUCCAAAGUUUAAUCCCUUUAAAACAAAAGCAACAAUCAUGAUCUGAACCAGUCGACGCUGCGGUCCAGCUCCACAGGGUGCCUUCAGACAGGGAAUCCCAUCAGAUCCAGAGCCGGGCUGCGUUCACACUCCUCAGAAACCAACAGGAGCGUUCACACCAAGACGGAGCCCAAGCCUCACCGCUCACAUUCAUUCACAGGUUACAAUUUUAGAUUUUAGGUUCCAUCAGGUCCUGAAAAAACAGGUUUUUUCCCCUUAAUUUUCAGUUUGUCCUUAUCAUGAAAGAACUUUUGUGAAUGUAAUCGCAGCGUUUUGUUCUUGACCAGCGAUCUGUGACCUCUGUGACCUUUAGGACCACCAGAGAAUCAAAACAUGUUCAACAUCUGGAAUGAAGAAAAACUCAAAGUUCACUCAUGAAGAGUCAUCGAGACACUUUAAAUCUCUUUUAUGACAUUUUCAGCUUUUGGAGCCACUUUUAGAAAGGUUUCUUCUUUUUCCAGAUAGAUUUUCUUACUGCAGUCAUUUCAUGUUUCUUGGCUUUUUUAGCGGUUUUUGGCAGUUGUGUUUCCAGAAGGUUCAAGCUGUUUUACACAGGAGCUAUUUUGCAUUUUGUCAUUUUCUAUUUUUUCCUCUUUAUUAAUAUUUUCUUCUUUUCCUCUUAUUUUCUACUUUUUUCUUGUUUUUUCCCCUUUUUCAUAUUUUUUCUCUUUUUUAUUUAAGAGAUUCAAAAUCAUUCCUUGUUUUACCUUCUUUAUCAGGUUUUAUUCUGGAGGUUGAACUGUUUUUGAACUAAAAAUUAAGAAGUUCUUAUGUACAUGGCACAUUCCAAAAGCCUCACGGAGCCGCCGGUUGCAGACUUCUGGUCUGGAACAAACACACCAGUAGAAUCUGUCAUUAUUCAGUUUUGCUGUUAUUUUGAAGCACUUGAUAAAUUUCUUUGCGUGUUGAGAAACUUCAGACGUCCCGUUGAUUUAACAAUCGUCUCCUGAUGGGGGUUUUUCCCAGCGAGGAACUUCAGGAAGCAGGUUUAGUUUUGAUCCGUCCAAUCGGGUGUGAGCACAGCCUGGAAGUCCCGCCCACAAUAUGUGACUGACGGCAAACUGCACCAAUCAAACAACCAACCAACAGCGAGCGACUCCGAAAAGUCCCGAAUCAGGGCAAACUGCAAACUUUUCCUACUGUGUGUGUGUGUGUGCGUGCGUGCAUGCGUGCGUGCGUGUGCCUGAUCCAGCUUUAAAAACUGUGCCGUCCUGAAUGUCUUUGUGUUUCUGGCCUGUUGAAAGUAUUUAUUUGAGCCAAAUAUGCUGAGAGCCGUUGACACGACAACGAGAAUUUUUGUUUCAUGUAAAGUUUUCCGUUUCCACGGUAACGGCGGGAACGCUGGAAGUGAUGGAGUUAGCCGGCGUCCACGAGUUCGUUUCCAAUGUAAAACGCUCCGGAGGCCGCCAUGUUGGAUAUUGUCCCUCUACUGAGCAUGUGCAGAACGACUCAGCCGGCCCCUGUGUGUCGGUGUGCAGCAGCAGCGUUUCCAUGGCGAUGGAGUCCGAGAGAUUUCAAGAAGUGGCAUUUUCAGCGGCUCCGUUGUCAUGGAAACAGACGACCAAAACGCAGCGGAAGUUUCCGGUUGUCAUGUGAAACGGUUGCCGUGCCAACGGGUGUGUGUGUUUCGCCCCUUCCUGUCUCCGACGCCGUCGUCCGGAGUGUUUAAAGCAGCAUCGUCUCGCCGUUUUAGAGAAACCCGUCCGUGAUGUUUGUUACUGCUCGUAAAUCUGUUUUUUAAAGUGACCAA